GGAGCUGGUGGAGCAGGCAGCGACGGCACCGGGAAUUGAAAUUAUCCGGGCCGAUGACCGCAGCCACAUUUUUCGUUCGGACCAGAACUGUUCCA
rnacentral:tRNA from 1 species